GAUGAACGCUGGCGGCGUGCCUAAUACAUGCAAGUCGAGCGAACAGAUGAGGAGCUUGCUCCUCUGACGUUAGCGGCGGACGGGUGAGUAACACGUGGAUAACCUACCUAUAAGACUGGGAUAACUUCGGGAAACCGGAGCUAAUACCGGAUAAUAUAUUGAACCGCAUGGUUCAAUAGUGAAAGACGGUUUUGCUGUCACUUAUAGAUGGAUCCGCGCCGCAUUAGCUAGUUGGUAAGGUAGCGGCUUACCAAGGCAACGAUGCGUAGCCGACCUGAGAGGGUGAUCGGCCACACUGGAACUGAGACACGGUCCAGACUCCUACGGGAGGCAGCAGUAGGGAAUCUUCCGCAAUGGGCGAAAGCCUGGCGGAGCAACGCCGCGUGAGUGAUGAAGGUCUUCGGAUCGUAAAACUCUGUUAUUAGGGAAGAACAAAUGUGUAAGUAACUAUGCACGUCUUGACGGUACCUAAUCAGAAAGCCACGGCUAACUACGU
rnacentral:rRNA from 1 species